AUUGAACGCUGGCGGCAGGCUUAACACAUGCAAGUCGAGCGGAGAUGAGGUGCUUGCACCUUAUCUUAGCGGCGGACGGGUGAGUAAUGCUUAGGAAUCUGCCUAUUAGUGGGGGACAACAUUCCGAAAGGAAUGCUAAUACCGCAUACGUCCUACGGGAGAAAGCAGGGGAUCUUCGGACCUUGCGCUAAUAGAUGAGCCUAAGUCGGAUUAGCUAGUUGGUGGGGUAAAGGCCUACCAAGGCGACGAUCUGUAGCGGGUCUGAGAGGAUGAGCCGCCACACAGGGACUGAGACACGGCCCAGACUCCUCCGGGAGGCAGCAGUGGGGAAUAUUGGACAAUGGGGGGAACCCUGAUCCAGCCAUGCCGCGUGUGUGAAGAAGGCCUUAUGGUUGUAAAGCACUUUAAGCGAGGAGGAGGCUACUGAGACUAAUACUCUUGGAUAGUGGACGUUACUCGCAGAAUAAGCACCGGCUAACUCUGUGCCAGCCGCCGCAGUAACAC
rnacentral:rRNA from 1 species